rnacentral:rRNA from 1 species
UACGGGGGAUGCAAGCGUUAUUCGGAAUUAUUGGGCGUAAAGGGCGCGCAGGCGGUCUUGUCCGUCAGGUGUGAAAGCUCGGGGCUCAACCCCGGAAGUGCACUUGAAACAGCAAGACUUGAAUACGGGAGAGGAAAGCGGAAUUCCUGGUGUAGAGGUGAAAUUCGUAGAUAUCAGGAGGAACACCGAUGGCGAAGGCAGCUUUCUGGACCGAUAUUGACGCUGAGGCGCGAAGGCGUGGGUAGCAAACGGGAUUAGAUACCCUGGUAGUCCACGCAGUAAACGAUGUACACUCGGUGUAGCGGAUAUUAAAAUCUGCUGCGCCCAAGCUAACGCAUUAAGUGUACCGCCUGGGGAGUACGGUCGCAAGACUAAA